GUGUCUAUAGGCGCGGUGAACAGCGGAGUCAUGGUGGAUUCAGGAGAUGCUGGAAUCGAUUCUCAGAUCCCUUCUGUACUGUCCACGUUCAUGCCCUCAGGUCCUGUUGAUGUGGAUACACAGGCAUUUGCAAAUGAACAUUCUGAUACGUACCACGUAUACAGCUCAAUCCCCGACAGACCAGCAACCUCAGCCCAGCCGGCGGAUGGGUUGUACAGUCUUCUGCAGACAAACUGACACUACAACUCUAUGUCUCACACAAAUAAAAAAAUUCUCACACGACAUCUUUGUUUAUCACACAUCCAGAUACUGUAAAUAAGUUGCUUAACAGGUGAUAUUUCUUACUGUAUUACACAUGUUCAACUGGUUUCUGUGACAUGUCUAUCCAUAAAAAUCUGUUACCUGUGUUAAUUCUUAUUAUUAUUAUUUUUUUGGAGGGUCUGGGUCAUACUCCCCUUUGAGCAUUUUUCUUAUUUCUUCCCCCUAGUAAAUGCUAUCUACUGUAAUUAUGUUAUUAUAUUGACUGUGUGAUACCUCCUUCCAUAACGGUUGGAUACAAUUAAUUUCCUAUUGGGCAAAACAUAAUCCAAAACAAACUGCAAAUGCAUCCAACAGGUUCGUUUGAGUCAUAAGCUUGAUGUAUGUAUUGGGUGCAAGGAAUAUAGGACCAAAAUACAAAUGUGUG